UUUGGUGGCGAUGCGUUUAGGGGUAACACCCGUUCCCAUCCCGAACACGAUGGUUAAGACCUAAACGGCCGAUGGUACUGCACUGGAGACGGUGUGGGAGAGAAGGUGGCCGCCAAAU
rnacentral:rRNA from 1 species